UACGUAGGGUGCGAGCGUUGUCCGGAAUUAUUGGGCGUAAAGAGCUUGUAGGCGGUCUGUCGCGUCUGCUGUGAAAAAUCCGGGGGCUCAACCCCCGGACUUGCAGUGGGGUACGGGGCAGACUAGAGUGUGGUAGGGGGAGACUGGAAUUCCUGGUGUAGCGGUGAAAUGCGCAGAUAUCAGGAGGAACACCGGUGGCGAAGGCGGGGUCUCUGGGG
rnacentral:rRNA from 1 species